rnacentral:rRNA from 1 species
AAUAUCUCGCAAUGGGGGAAACCCUUACGCAGCAACGCCGCGUGGGGGAAGCAGGCCUUCGGGUCGUAAAGCUCUGUCUUAGCGGACGAUAAUGACGUUAAGCGCGGCAGAAGCCCCGGAUACCUAGCGGCCAGCGAACGCGGUAAUACGUAGGUGGCGAGCGUUGUCCGGAAUUACUGGGCGUAAAGGGUGCGUAGGCGGAAGCUUAAGUCAGAUGUGAAAUACCUGGGCUCAACUUAGGGAUUGCAUUUGAAACUGGGUUUCUAGAGUGCAGGAGAGGAAAGCGGAAUUCCUAGUGUAGCGGUGAAAUGCGUAGAUAUUAGGAAGAACACCAGUGGCGAAGGCGGCUUUCUGGACUGUAACUGACGCUGAGGCACGAAAGCGUGGGGAGCAAACAGG